CCUACGGGGGGCAGCAGUGAGGAAUAUUGGUCAAUGGGCGGGAGCCUGAACCAGCCAAGCCGCGUGAGGGAAGAAGGUACAGCGGAUUGUAAACCUCUUUUGUCAGGGAACAAAGGCGGGGACUAGUCCCCGGAUGAGGGUACCUGAAGAAAAAGCAUCGGCAAACUCCGUGCCAGCAGCCGGGGUAAUACGGAGGAUGCGAGCGUUAUCCGGAUUUAUUGGGUUUAAAGGGUGGGCAGGCGGCUUGUUAAGUCAGCGGUAAAAGCCCGGGGCUCACCCCCGGCGAGCCGUUGAAACUGGGGGGCUGGAGUUGGAGAGAGGUACGCGGAAUGCGCGGUGUAGCGGUGAAAUGCUUAGAUAUCGCGCAGAACCCCGAUUGCGAAGGCAGCGUACCGGCUCCACACUGACGCUGAGGCACGAAAGCGUGGGUAUCGAACAGGAUUAGAUACCCUUGUAGUC
rnacentral:rRNA from 1 species